GAGUUUGAUCAUGGCUCAGAUUGAACGCUGGCGGCAGGCCUAACACAUGCAAGUCGAACGGUAACAGGAAGAAGCUUGCUUCUUUGCUGACGAGUGGCGGACGGGUGAGUAAUGUCUGGGAAACUGCCUGAUGGAGGGGGAUAACUACUGGAAACGGUAGCUAAUACCGCAUAACGUCGCAAGACCAAAGAGGGGGACCUUCGGGCCUCUUGCCAUCGGAUGUGCCCAGAUGGGAUUAGCUAGUAGGUGGGGUAACGGCUCACCUAGGCGACGAUCCCUAGCUGGUCUGAGAGGAUGACCAGCCACACUGGAACUGAGACACGGUCCAGACUCCUACGGGAGGCAGCAGUGGGGAAUAUUGCACAAUGGGCGCAAGCCUGAUGCAGCCAUGCCGCGUGUAUGAAGAAGGCCUUCGGGUUGUAAAGUACUUUCAGCGGGGAGGAAGGGAGUAAAGUUAAUACCUUUGCUCAUUGACGUUACCCGCAGAAGAAGCACCGGCUAACUCCGUGCCAGCAGCCGCGGUAAUACGGAGGGUGCAAGCGUUAAUCGGAAUUACUGGGCGUAAAGCGCACGCAGGCGGUUUGUUAAGUCAGAUGUGAAAUCGCCGGGCUCAACCUGGGAACUGCAUCUGAUACUGGCAAGCUUGAGUCUCGUAGAGGGGGGUAGAAUUCCAGGUGUAGCGGUGAAAUGCGUAGAGAUCUGGAGGAAUACCGGUGGCGAAGGCGGCCCCCUGGACGAAGACUGACGCUCAGGUGCGAAAGCGUGGGGAGCAAACAGGAUUAGAUACCCUGGUAGUCCACGCCGUAAACGAUGUCGACUUGGAGGUUGUGCCCUUGAGGCGUGGCUUCCGGAGCUAACGCGUUAAGUCGACCGCCUGGGGAGUACGGCCGCAAGGUUAAAACUCAAAUGAAUUGACGGGGGCCCGCACAAGCGGUGGAGCAUGUGGUUUAAUUCGAUGCAACGCGAAGAACCUUACCUGGUCUUGACAUCCACGGAAGUUUUCAGAGAUGAGAAUGUGCCUUCGGGAACCGUGAGACAGGUGCUGCAUGGCUGUCGUCAGCUCGUGUUGUGAAAUGUUGGGUUAAGUCCCGCAACGAGCGCAACCCUUAUCCUUUGUUGCCAGCGGUCCGGCCGGGAACUCAAAGGAGACUGCCAGUGAUAAACUGGAGGAAGGUGGGGAUGACGUCAAGUCAUCGUGGCCCUUACGACCAGGGCUACACACGUGCUACAAUGGCGCAUACAAAGAGAAGCGACCUCGCGAGAGCAAGCGGACCUCAUAAAGUGCGUCGUAGUCCGGAUUGGAGUCUGCAACUCGACUCCAUGAAGUCGGAAUCGCUAGUAAUCGUGGAUCAGAAUGCCACGGUGAAUACGUUCCCGGGCCUUGUACACACCGCCCGUCACACCAUGGGAGUGGGUUGCAAAAGAAGUAGGUGGCUUAACCUUCGGGAGGGCGCUUACCACUUUGUGAUUCAUGACUGGGGUGAAGUCGGAACAAGGUA
rnacentral:rRNA from 1 species